rnacentral:rRNA from 1 species
AUUGAACGCUGGCGGCAUGCCUUACACAUGCAAGUCGAACGGCAGCACGGGAGCAAUCCUGGUGGCGAGUGGCGAACGGGUGAGUAAUAUAUCGGAACGUGCCCAGUCGUGGGGGAUAACGUAGCGAAAGCUACGCUAAUACCGCAUACGAUCCAUGGAUGAAAGCGGGGGAUCGCAAGACAUCGCGCGAUUGGAGCGGCCGAUAUCAGAUUAGGUAGUUGGUGGGGUAAAGGCUCACCAAGCCGACGAUCUGUAGCUGGUCUGAGAGGACGACCAGCCACACUGGGACUGAGACACGGCCCAGACUCCUACGGGAGGCAGCAGUGGGGAAUUUUGGACAAUGGGCGCAAGCCUGAUCCAGCAAUGCCGCGUGCAGGAUGAAGGCCUUCGGGUUGUAAACUGCUUUUGUACGGAGCGAAAAGGCUUCCACUAAUACUGGGGGCUCAUGACGGUACCGUAAGAAUAAGCACCGGCUAACUACGUGCCAGCCGCCGCGGUAACAC